rnacentral:ncRNA from 1 species
UAACACGCGUGGCUAGGUGGUACUUUUGUAUCGCCGGAUGGUGAUGAGUAGUCAUCGGUUAAGCCGGAGGGGGUGCUACAGAUUGCCACGGUCUUAUCUCCCUCCGGUUUUGCUAA